CACGUAGGGGGCGAGCGUUGUCCGGAUUUAUUGGGCGUAAAGAGCUCGUAGGCGGCUCAGUAAGUCAGGUGUGAAAACUCCAGGCUCAACCUGGAGACGCCACCUGAUACUGCUGUGGCUAGAGUCCGGUAGGGGAGCAUGGAAUUCCUGGUGUAGCGGUGAAAUGCGCAGAUAUCGGGAGGAACACCAGUGGCGAAGGCGGUGCUCUGGGCCGGAACUGACGCUGAGGAGCGAAAGCGUGGGGAGCAAACAGG
rnacentral:rRNA from 1 species